GGUCAAGGAGUAGUGGUGGUAGGUGUGGUGGUAGUGGUGGUGGUGGUGACAACAGGACAUUCCCAGCAGGCCUCGGGGUAUAUAAGCGAGCGUCAACUGUCUUGCAUACAUUCGUGGACUAGCCGUCAGCGAGAAAGACUCUUGCUAUUCAGAAUGUCACUGCUUGCCGCGAGACACGUGUUGGUGGCGUUGGCGGUGGCCGUGCUGGUGGUGGCCCUAGCAGGCGAGGGGACCGAGGCACGCCCGCAGCCCCAGCAGACCCUUACUGAUACCCUGGGCGCCCCCUUCGCCACCGUGGCUGAUGCUUCCCAAGGCGCCCUGGACUCAACCACCAACUUCUUUACCAACGCUGGAAGUACCAUUACGAGGCUCACGACGAAUGUUGUCAACAGUGGAAGAGACAUGGUCAAUAACUUUCUGAAGACCAUUAGAGAAAGCGGAUAAGAAGGACGUAGAGAGACCUGAUGCAUUUACUGACCAUGAGAAUACAAUGAGAUAUCUGCAAGAGACCAGCCAGUUUAUACUUCUUUGGCGUUACCUAAAAAUAAAGCCCCAAUAUACCCACUCCGGCAUCCACCAAUAAGAUUCAGCCUUUCCCAGCAUCCACCAAUGAGAUCCAACCUAUCUCAUCAUCCACCAAUAAGAUUCAAUCCUUAUACCAGCAUCCACCAAUAAGAUUCAGCCUUUCCCAGCAUCCACCAACGAGAUCCAACCUUUCCCAGCAUCCACCAAUGAGAUCCCUUUCCCAGCAUCCACCAUUGAGAUUCAGCCUUUCCCAGCAUCCACCAUUGAGAUUCAACCCUUGAUCCCUGCAUCCACCAACAAGAUUAAGCCUUUCCCAGCAUCCACCAAUAAGAUUCAGCCUUUCCCAGCAUCCACCAACAAGAUUCAACCUUUCCCAGCAUCCACCAAUAAGAUUCAGCCUUUCCCAGCAUCCACCAAUAAAAUUCAGCCUUUCCCAGCAUCCACCAACAAGAUUCAGCCUUUCCCAUCAUCCACCAAUUAAUAAGACUCCAACCUUUUCCAGCAUUCACCAAUGAGAUUCAACCAUUCCCAGCAUCCACCAAUAAGAUUCAGCCUUUCCCAGCAUCCACCAAUGAGAGAUUCAACCCUUCCCAGCAUCAACCAAUAAGACUCCAGCCUUUCCCAGCAUCCACCAAUAAGAUUUAGCCUUUCCCAGCAUCCACCAAUGAGAGUCAGCCUUUUUCCAGCAUCCACCAUUAAUUCAACCCUUCCCAGCAUCCACCAAUAAGACUCCAACCUUUCCCAGCAUCCACCAAUAAGAUUCCACCCUUCCCAGCAUCCACCUUAAUAAGAUUCAGCCUUUCCCACCUUGUUCAUUAAUGUCAAUAGAGUAUAAUACACGGGCAGUUCCUUAUAUAAACCUGUAUAUACUAACAGUUAUACCUCAAGACAAGUGUUACUAUAUGUGUAAAUUAUAUAAAAUGUUCUAAUGAAAUAUCUUAGCUAAAUAUCUGGUUUGAUUUUUACUCCUCCUGUGAUAGAGAGAGAGAGAGAGAGAGAGAGAGAGAGAGAGAGAGAGAGAGAGAGAGAGAGAGAGAGAAUAAAUUAAAAAAAAAUCACUUGGACAUUCGAUCAUACCGCAGCGCUAAUGUCCCCCAAAAAAUAAUUAUAUAAACAGAAAAUCAAAUCAGCUACAUUUAAUCAGAGAAAUAAAUGGAUAAAUGAAGAUAAAUAUUGAAAAACAACAAAGCCGUCCUGGGAAUCAAGACUUUCCCUUCCUUCCCUCACUCCCCAAGCCUCAAGCCCCGCCAAAUUCUGACAGGAAUCCUUAUUUUUUUUACGUUUUCUGCACGCCACACCUUUCACCAUGAGUAAGGCACAUCCCCCGGAGCUCAAAAAGUGAUCCGAGGCAGCAGUAUCAUCAUGCUUGAGGCGCUGGACCGCAUAUCCUAAUGGCUCAAUGUAGUACAAUCCAACACUCAGCUUUUCUUUUCUUUAUUCAUUUUUUCAUGCAGAUUUUUGAGGGGAGCGAGAGGUCGGGUGGUAAGGGAAGGAUUUUUGAGGCAUUCUAUCUCAUUUUUUCAUUAAUGUCUUGCAAACUCACAGUCAUAUAGCCCCCAAUAACAUGUUUGCUGUCUGAACUAGCUAUUGUAGUGAUUUGAUAAUAAAUAAUAAUAAUAAUAAUAAUAAUAAUAAUAAUAAUAAUAUGAAUGAUUCCUGUAUUAUUAAACUUUUCAAUGCCCAGACACUCAUAUUUAACAAAGCUUUCGCAGGAGUUGUGGUAGGCAUUUCCAGGGGCACUUUUAUGGCCCUGGUGGUAGCCUGACUCUUCUUCUGUACCAUGAACAUGAAUAAAGAACCAGUGUGAAGGAGACAA